GCAGCAGCCGCGGUAAUACGAAGGGUGCAAGCGUUACUCGGAAUUACUGGGCGUAAAGCGUGCGUAGGUGGUGGUUUAAGUCCGUUGUGAAAGCCCUGGGCUCAACCUGGGAAUUGCAGUGGAUACUGGGUCACUAGAGUGUGGUAGAGGAUAGUGGAAUUUCCGGUGUAGCAGUGAAAUGCGUAGAGAUCGGAAGGAACAUCUGUGGCGAAGGCGACUAUCUGGGCCAACACUGACACUGAGGCACGAAAGCGUGGGGAGCAAACAGGAUUAGAUACCCGCGUAGUCCCUGUCUCUUAUAC
rnacentral:rRNA from 1 species